rnacentral:ncRNA from 1 species
CCCGUUGAGUUUAAGAAUAUAAUUAAGCGGAGGAAAAUAAACUUACAAGGAUUCCCCUAGUACUAGCAAGAAAACUGAGAAGAGCCCAGAAUGAAAAUCGGGUGGCAGUGUUGACUGAACUGUAGUCUAUAUAAGCAUCCUUAGCGGUGGACUGGGCCCAAGUCCCCUGGAAGGAGGUGCCUGAGAGGGUGACAACCCUGUUGGGUCGGGACCCUGUCGCACCACAAGGCAUUGUCGACGAGUUGGGUUGUUUGGGAAUGCAGCCCUAAUCGGGUGGUAAAUUCCGUCCAAGUCUAAAUACAGUCGAGAGACUGAUAGAGAACAAUUACCGUAAGG